rnacentral:rRNA from 1 species
UGGAGAGGACUACAGGAUUCCCCUAGUAACGGCGAGUGAAGCGGGAAAAGCUCAAAUUUGAAAUCUGGCGGUCUACGGCCGUCCGAGUUGUAGUCUAGAGAGGUGUCUUCUGCGUCGGACCAUGCACAAGUCCCUUGGAACAGGGCGUCAUAGAGGGUGAGAAUCCCGUCCGUGGCAUGGACUCCCGGUGCUUUGUGAUGCGCCUUCGAAGAGUCGAGUUGUUUGGGAAUGCAGCUCAAAAUGGGUGGUAAAUUCCAUCUAAAGCUAAAUACAGGCGAGAGACCGAUAGCGAACAAGUACCGUGAGGGAAAGAUGAAAAGCACUUUGGAAAGAGAGUUAAACAGUACGUGAAAUUGUUGAAAGGGAAACGCUUGGAGUCAGUCGCGUUUGCCGGGACUCAGCCUUGCUUCUGCUUGGUGCACUUCCUGGUACACGGGCCAGCAUCAAUUUCGAUCGCC